rnacentral:rRNA from 1 species
UACGUAGGGCGCAAGCGUUAUCCGGAAUUAUUGGGCGUAAAGAGCUCGUAGGCGGUUUGUCGCGUCUGCCGUGAAAGUCCGGGGCUCAACUCCGGAUCUGCGGUGGGUACGGGCAGACUAGAGUGAUGUAGGGGAGACUGGAAUUCCUGGUGUAGCGGUGAAAUGCGCAGAUAUCAGGAGGAACACCGGUGGCGAAGGCGGGUCUCUGGACAGUUCCUGACGCUGAGGCACGAAGGUCAGGGGAGCAAACGGG